GUUGAUAGCUCAGUUGGUUAGAGCGUGGUGCUAAUAAUGCCAAGGUCACAGAUUCGAUCCCCGUAAGGGACA